CUUAGCUCAGUUGGUAGAGCAGUAGACUCUUAAUCUAUGGGGCGCAGGUUCGAGCCCUGCA
rnacentral:tRNA from 1 species